rnacentral:rRNA from 1 species
GACGAACGCUGGCGGCGUGCUUAACACAUGCAAGUCGAACGGAAAGGCCCUGCUUUUGUGGGGUGCUCGAGUGGCGAACGGGUGAGUAACACGUGAGUAACCUGCCCUUGACUUUGGGAUAACUUCAGGAAACUGGGGCUAAUACCGGAUAGGAGCUCCUGCUGCAUGGGGGGGGUUGGAAAGUUUCGGCGGUUGGGGAUGGACGCGCGGCUUAUCAGCUUGUUGGUGGGGUAGUGGCUUACCAAGGCUUUGACGGGUAGCCGGCCUGAGAGGGUGACCGGCCACAUUGGGACUGAGAUACGGCCCAGACUCCUACGGGAGGCAGCAGUGGGGAAUAUUGCACAAUGGGCGGAAGCCUGAUGCAGCAACGCCGCGUGCGGGAUGACGGCCUUCGGGUUGUAAACCGCUUUCGCCUGUGACGAAGCGUGAGUGACGGUAAUGGGUAAAGAAGCACCGGCUAACUACAUG